GCCCGUAUGGUGCAGUGGUUAGUUAGGUGCGCCUGGCAGUGCUCUUGUUGCUACGGUGGGCGACGAGUGCAAGCGGGUUCGAAUCCCGCUACGGUCC